AUUCUAUUAGUAUAAUUAGUAUGUUUGUUUUCCAAACAAAUGGUUUAAUAUUUUUAAAUAGAAUA
rnacentral:tRNA from 1 species